rnacentral:lncRNA from 1 species
GGCUUCCCCGCCCGGCCGCCGCCAUGAUGAGGAGGUCGGCGCGGCUGUGCUGCGGGCAGGCAGCGGAGAGGGCUCGCGGCGAGGGCUCCAGCUUACCCCGCCGCCGCGUCGCGUGCACGGAGCGCUUCAGAGGUUUGGAGGGGGCCGGAACCUCAAAAGCAACUGGAUGAGCACAACGCGGACGCCCCGGAGAAGCGGCGCAAGCGGGCCCAAAAUGGUUGCUGAUCAGACGAGUGGCAUCUCUCGCCCCCCUACCGCGGGAAUUGGGACCUCCAGACUGUGCCUGGGGGAUCGGUUGGAGAUGGCUGGAAGAAAUGAAAAGAAGAACGCCAACAAAGGCGAUAAAGAAAAAUUCAACACUGCUUGAUAACUGAUGAGAUAGUGAAGGAGUAGGAGGGCAAAAGUCAGAAGUAAUUCCAGGUGUUCAAGAACUAAAUGCUGAAGAGAUGUUAGUGUCGUUGACGGUCUUCUAAUGGGAAGUGAAUUUCAAUAGAAAGAGGAUGUGUUUGGUUUCAGACAGACCGAGUGACUGGUGACAACAGGAAAGCCACGUGUUUGGAGCAGAUUACUCGGUACAGUCAGCAGCUGGAAUGGAAGUGAAGAAGGCCCAGCAGAGCAUCAGACCUGAGUGCAAACUAUGGUGGUGUUGGUGGAAUAGAGGGAAGGGAGAGAUUUGAGAGACAUUGGGAAGAAAGGUUUUGGUUUUUGAGACAGAGUCUUGCCCUGUCAUCCAGGCUGGAGUGCAGUGGCAUAAUCUUGGCUUACAGCAAACUCCACCUCCCGGGUUCAAGCAAUUAUCAUGCCUCAGCCCCCUAAGUAGCUGGAAUUACAGGCAAGUGCCACCACAUUCAGCUAAUUUUUGUAUUUUUAGUAGAGACAGGGUUUCACCAUCUUAGCCAGGCUGGUCUCAAACUCCUGACCUCAGGUGAUCCACCUGCCUCGGCCUCCCAAAGUGCCGGGAUUACAGGUGUGAGUCACCAUGCCCAGCCACCAGAAGUUUAAUCAAGGCUCAGAGACUGAUUCCAGUUUGAGUUUUCUAAUAACUGUCUAAUACUUAGCUAAUAGCUUUGGACAGUUGCUCUUUUUAAAAUGAGAUCAUUCAAUCAUUGCAUUCAUCUUUGGGUAUGACUCACUAGUCAACAGAGUCCCCCUUCUGUAGAAACUGCCUCAUUCACAGAGAUGACCUCCACCAGUCAUGCCUAUAUUUGAGACCCUGUCUCUCUUUAUCCCCCAUUGCUGCGUGAUUCAAGGGUGGUCACCUGACCCAGGCAGUGCCAAGUUUAUUCUCUGUCUUGGGAAUUUAGAAUGUUUGUUUGGCUAAGAGACACAGAAACUGGAAGCUGGAGCUGAUGAUGGAGCUGAUCACGCUAAUGAUGGAGCUAUAGAGAUAAGAUGCAUGAACACCACCGAGGUCCCCAAGAUUGCCAUAUUCCUGCAGUGCCUUCUGGCCACAGAUAGUUGGUCCAGAAGCAGGUUCCUGACUCAACCUGGGCCAAUUAGAGCCUUUCACGGAGAUUUUGAAAUCAAAGUUGAGAUCUCUCUUUCUCUCUAUGCCCUUUGGUGUAUGUGUACUUGAGCUACAAGUUACCCAACUUUGGAAGCUGUAGACAGAGGCAAUUUUCCACUAAAUGAAGUGAGAAACAGAAAGUCCAUCAUUAGUGAGAGAGGAGCAAGGCAGAUGCACACAGAGAAGCAGAUAGAGGGGAAGCGGGCGGGAGUGGGGCGGGAGUUCCUGGAGUCCCCACAGUGCUCUAGUUUCUGAUUCUCUUCCUAAGACCCACAGGAUUCCUGCCUUUGGGUUUCUUAAGUUCCUGAAUAGCUCCUGAUUGCCUUUGUCUUUUUUACGAAAGUCCUUUGAGCAUGGUUUCAGGUGAGCAGACAGUCCUAACCUAAAGAGCUGUAACAAAUACACGUGGGCUGUGUGUGAGAUUCGGGGAGAGGCACCAGGGAUCCAGUGUGGGUCAGGCGUGGUGCCGCCCUCAAGGAACUUAGUGGGGAGAAAAUGAAGUCUGUACUUCAAUAACUACAGUGCAGGCUAGGAAGAGAACACCCUUAGAGAUGUGCAAAUCAAGCUCUUUGGGAGUUUAGAGGAGGCCUAGGACUGCUAAGGAAAGGCUGGGACUAGGAAGAGGUAAGCAAGUCACUGAGGAGGCAAAAUUUAAGAAGCCACCCACUCUCAGGGUGUGUGAAUGCAGCGUUGGCACUUGCAUGACCCUGAGAAUGAGCAACCCCUUAAAUGUAUCUUAGGCACCUUGCCAGACUCACUUUUAGCUUGCUGGACUAAUUGUGGGGAUCAGUAGGCCUUCAGAGGAAAGUUAGUGUCUGAGCUGAACUGAAGGAUGGGGUGGUUUUGGACUUGGUGGCAAUGUCAUCUACCUCAAGGUAAAGUAACAAUAUGGAAAACGCUCCCGUGAAAAUUCACAAGGUCUGUUCUAGGAUCAUCAGGCUCUUCGGUGUGACUUAAGAGUUCAGAGCAUGAAGGAGGAGGGGGCAGUAAGAAAAAUGGAGAGAACGUAGCAUCAGAUUCUGCAGGCAAGGAGAAAAUUGCUAAGCUGGGAAAUAACAUAAUCAGAGCGGUACUUAAGAUGAAUCUAACGGAAUAGCAUGAAAUAAAGGAAAGGCUAAGGAGAGGACAAACAGGAGGCUAUUGUGGCAAUCCAGGCGUGAAAGUCUAAACUAAUCAGCACUGGGAAUAGAGAUGCCAUAGGAAAAAUAAUACAUCAUUAAUAUAACUUGGCAAUUGAGUAGAUGUUGGAGACAAGAGAGAAAUCAGAAACACUGCUAAACACUAUGCAGCUAUAACAAAGAAUGAGAGAGCAUUCAGUAAGAUCACAUCCAAGAUAUGUACAUGAAAAACACAAGGGAUAGAACUGUGUAUAUGGCAAGCUAUCACUUGCAUUUUUUAUUUUUUAAAUGGUAUUUAUUUAUUUCUUGUUUUUUCCUUUUUUUAAGACUAAAAAAUCAAUUAUAAAAUCCUCAACCACUUGACUUUUUUUUUAAGUUCCUGGGUACAUGUGCAGGACGUACAGGUUUAUUAUAUAGGUAAACGUGUGCUAUGGUGGUUUGCUGCACCUAUCAACCCAUCACCUAGGUUUAAGCCCCGCAUGCAUUAGCUCUUUUCCCUAGUGCUCUUCCCCCACCAUCCUCCCCUGACAGGCCCCGGUAAGUGUUGUUCCCCUCCCUGUGUUCUCAUUGUUCAGCUCCCACUUAUAAGUGAGAACAUGUAAUGUUUGGUUUUCUAUUCCUGCAUUAGUUUGCUAAGGAUAAUGGCUUCCAGCUCCAUUUAUGUCCCUGUAAAGGACAUGAUCUUGUUUUUUUAUGGCUGCGUAGUAUUCCAUGGUGUAUAUGUACCACAUUUUCUUUAUUCAGUCUAUCAUUGAUGGGCAUUUGGGUUGAUUCCAUGUCUUUGCUAUUGUGAAUAGUGCUGCAAUGAACAUACGUGUACAUGUAUCUUUAUAACAGAGUGAUUUAUAUUCCUUUGGGUAUACACCCUGUAAUGGGAUUGCUGGGUCAAAUGGUAUUUCCAGUUCUAAAUCUUUGAGGAAUCGCCACACUGUCUUCCACAAUGGUUGAACUAAUUUACAUUCCCACGAACAGUGUAAAAGCAUUCCUAUUUCUCUGCAAUCUCACCAGCAUCUGUCAUUUCUUGACUUUUUAAUAAUCGCCAUUCUGACUGGUGUAAGAUGGUAUCUCAUUGUGGUUUUGAUUUGCAUUUCUCUUUUUUUUUUUUUUUUUUUUUGAGACAGUUUCAAAAACUUGUUGCCAAGGCUGGAGUGCAAUGGUGUGAUCUUGGCUCACUACAACCUCUGCCUCCUGGGUUCAAGUGAUUCUUCUGCCUCAGCCUCCCAAGUAGCUAGGAUUACAGGUGUAUGCCACCACGCCCAGCUAAUUUUUGUAUUUUUACUAGAGACGGGGUUUCACUAUGUUGGCCAGGCUGAUCUUGAACUCCUGACCUCAAGAGAUCUGCCCACCUCCGCCUCCCAAAGUGCAGGGAUUACAGGCGUAAGCUUCCACGCCCAGCUGAUGGUAGUUUCUUUUGCUAUGCAUAAGCUCUUUAGUUUAAUUAGAUCCCAUUUGUUGAAUUUUGCUUUUGUUGCGAUUGUUUUUGGCAAUUUUAUCAUAAAAUCUUUGCCCAUUCCUAUGUCCUGAAUGGUAUUGUCUAGAUUUUCUUCUAGGGUUUUUGUAGUUUGGGGUUUUACAUUUAAGGCUUUAAUCCAUCUUGAGUUAAUUUUUGUAUAAAGGUGUAAGGAAAGGAUCGAGUUUCAGUUUUCUGCAUAUGGCUAGCCAGUUCUCCCAUCACCAUUUAUUAAACAGGAAAUCCUUUCCCCAUUGCUUGUUUUGGUUUGUCAAAGAUCAGAUGGUUGUAGAUGUGCGAUUUUAUAUGUGCUGCCAAAGUGAGCACUAUUUAUUUAUUUUUUUAAACAGAGUCUCACUGUGUUGCCCAGGCUGGAGUGCAGUGGCAUGAACAUAGCUCACGUAGCCUUAUUUGCAUUUGUAAAAGGGAAAUAUGUUUUGUUUUGUUUUUUGAGA